AGAGUUUGAUCAUGGCUCAGAUUGAACGCUGGCGGCAGGCCUAACACAUGCAAGUCGAGCGGUAGCACAGAAGAGCUUGCUCUUCGGGUGACGAGCGGCGGACGGGUGAGUAAUGUCUGGGAAACUGCCUGAUGGAGGGGGAUAACUACUGGAAACGGUAGCUAAUACCGCAUAACGUCUUCGGACCAAAGAGGGGGACCUUCGGGCCUCUUGCCAUCGGAUGUGCCCAGAUGGGAUUAGCUAGUAGGUGAGGUAAUGGCUCACCUAGGCGACGAUCCCUAGCUGGUCUGAGAGGAUGACCAGCCACACUGGAACUGAGACACGGUCCAGACUCCUACGGGAGGCAGCAGUGGGGAAUAUUGCACAAUGGGCGCAAGCCUGAUGCAGCCAUGCCGCGUGUGUGAAGAAGGCCUUCGGGUUGUAAAGCACUUUCAGCGGGGAGGAAGGCGAUAAGGUUAAUAACCUUGUCGAUUGACGUUACCCGCAGAAGAAGCACCGGCUAACUCCGUGCCAGCAGCCGCGGUAAUACGGAGGGUGCAAGCGUUAAUCGGAAUGACUGGGCGUAAAGCGCACGCAGGCGGUCUGUUAAGUUGGAUGUGAAAUCCCCGGGCUUAACCUGGGAACUGCAUUCAAAACUGACAGGCUAGAGUCUUGUAGAGGGGGGUAGAAUUCCAGGUGUAGCGGUGAAAUGCGUAGAGAUCUGGAGGAAUACCGGUGGCGAAGGCGGCCCCCUGGACAAAGACUGACGCUCAGGUGCGAAAGCGUGGGGAGCAAACAGGAUUAGAUACCCUGGUAGUCCACGCUGUAAACGAUGUCGACUUGGAGGUUGUGCCCUUGAGGCGUGGCUUCCGGAGCUAACGCGUUAAGUCGACCGCCUGGGGAGUACGGCCGCAAGGUUAAAACUCAAAUGAAUUGACGGGGGCCCGCACAAGCGGUGGAGCAUGUGGUUUAAUUCGAUGCAACGCGAAGAACCUUACCUACUCUUGACAUCCACAGAAUUUGGUAGAGAUACCUUAGUGCCUUCGGGAACUGUGAGACAGGUGCUGCAUGGCUGUCGUCAGCUCGUGUUGUGAAAUGUUGGGUUAAGUCCCGCAACGAGCGCAACCCUUAUCCUUUGUUGCCAGCACGUAAUGGUGGGAACUCAAAGGAGACUGCCGGUGAUAAACCGGAGGAAGGUGGGGAUGACGUCAAGUCAUCAUGGCCCUUACGAGUAGGGCUACACACGUGCUACAAUGGCGUAUACAAAGAGAAGCGACCUCGCGAGAGCAAGCGGACCUCAUAAAGUACGUCGUAGUCCGGAUUGGAGUCUGCAACUCGACUCCAUGAAGUCGGAAUCGCUAGUAAUCGUAGAUCAGAAUGCUACGGUGAAUACGUUCCCGGGCCUUGUACACACCGCCCGUCACACCAUGGGAGUGGGUUGCAAAAGAAGUAGGUAGCUUAACCUUCGGGAGGGCGCUUACCACUUUGUGAUUCAUGACUGGGGUGAAGUCGUAACAAGGUAACCGUAGGGGAACCUGCGGUUG
rnacentral:rRNA from 1 species